rnacentral:rRNA from 1 species
GCUUUGGCAGUACGCUGGCUUCUUAGAGGGACCAUCGGUGCAAUCCGAAGGAAGUUCGAGGCAAAAACAGGUCUGUGAUGCCCUUAGAUGUUCUGGGCCGCACGCGCGCUACACUGACGGAGCCAGCGAGUACUUCCUUGUCCGAAAGGUC